rnacentral:rRNA from 1 species
GACGUAGGGCGCGAGCGUCGUCCGGAUUUAUUGGGCGUAAAGAGCUCGUAGGCGGCUUGUCGCGUCGUCCGUGAAAACCCACAGCUCAACUGUGGGCUUGCGGUCGAUACGGGCAGGCUAGAGUUCGGUAGGGGAGACUGGAAUUCCUGGUGUAGCGGUGAAAUGCGCAGAUAUCAGGAGGAACACCGGUGGCGAAGGCGGGUCUCUGGGCCGAUACUGACGCUGAGGAGCGAAAGCGUGGGGAGCGAACAGG